GACGAACGCUGGCGGCGUGCUUAACACAUGCGAGUCGAGCGACGCUCUUCCUUCGGGGAGAUGACGGAGCGGCGAACGGGUGAGUAACACGUGGGCAACCUGCCCCUAGCUCUGGGACAACACCGGGAAACCGGUGCUAAUACCGGAUACGACAUCGAGCGGCAUCUCUCGAUGUGGAAAGUUUUUUCGGCUAGGGAUGGGCCCGCGGCCUAUCAGCUUGUUGGUGGGGUAAUGGCCCACCAAGGCGACGACGGGUAGCCGGCCUGAGAGGGCGACCGGCCACACUGGGACUGAGACACGGCCCAGACUCCUACGGGAGGCAGCAGUGGGGAAUAUUGCGCAAUGGGCGAAAGCCUGACGCAGCGACGCCGCGUGAGGGAUGACGGCCUUCGGGUUGUAAACCUCUUUCAGCAGGGACGAAUUCAGACGGUACCUGCAGAAGAAGCACCGGCCAACUACGUG
rnacentral:rRNA from 1 species